AGCAAAUUGGCGCAGAGGAAGCGCGCGGGGCUCAUAACCCCGAGGUCGUAGGAUCGAAACCUACAUUUGCUA
rnacentral:tRNA from 1 species